rnacentral:rRNA from 1 species
UACGUAGGGUCCGAGCGUUGUCCGGAAUUACUGGGCGUAAGCGUGACGCAGGCGGCUUCUUAGGCAUGACGUGAAAGCCCCGGCUCAACCUGGGGAGGUCAUCGGUAACGGUCGUGCUAUGAGUGCAGGAGAGGGAAGUGGAACUCCGGAGUAGCGGUGAAAUGCGUAGAGACCGGAGGAACCACCAGUGGCGAAGGCGGCUUCCUGGUCUGCGACUGACGCUGUGGCGCGAAAGCUAGGGAGCAACGGGGAUUAAGAUACCCGGUAG